UUUGGCUGUGCAGAGUCAAAGCUAUUUUUCCCCGAGUUUCUCACCUAGGCAUGUGUUUCACCAGCUUAAUCACGGUGUGAUGUUGAGCAUUUAUAACCAACUGCUCACUGGUUCUACUCACAUGACAGCAAGCAGCAACAGGACGGUGCCUGAGUUCAUAGACAUAGAUGUUCAUGGAAAGAAUAUCUCAAGCUGUGUAGCACAGGCUUCUGUCUUAGAGGGACCACAGCCGAUGACGUCUGUGCUGCUGUUGGAUGCUAUCUCUUACCACAGGCCUACAAUGACGCUACAUUUCAAUAGCUGGCCAUCAACUUCAGAGAAAAGUCAGAGGGCUCGUUUGUGACAUUUCCUGAGUUUACUACAAUAAAUCAUUCUCUGCG
rnacentral:lncRNA from 1 species